CUGAAACCACUUUGUACCCUAGAUGUGGAGUCAAGUACUUUGUUGCUGAUCUAACGUUAUCUGUAACAGGAUAACCAUAAAGGCAGUUGAUGGGUACUUCACAAAGCAUGCUGAGGGACAGUAGUGACCCAGAUGGAAUUUGCCAAUCCUGCAUAACAGGAUAAAUGUCAUGGGCCCAAUAUUGAACUGGACAAAGAUGACACCAAGUAUGUUUUGUGUUCAAUAUAGACAUAAAGGGCAAAGGGGUAAUUAUACACAAUGAUAUUAUCACAAGAGGUUAUGUUUAGAUCACAUGUUAAUUUCUCGUAACUUGAGUAGCAGUGAUGUGUUGCUAGAUACCGCUCACUGUUUAUUGUAAUAAAUAGUGAUUUAUUAUAAUUGUCNNNNNNNNNNNNNNNAGGGUCACACACAUAAGAACAAUCUAGUGAGAUUGGAACACCGUAAGGUACGGUGCACCUUGGAGAAAUAAGGAAAUAUGAUAAGGGUAUUAUGGUAAUUAAAAUGAGCAUUACAUCAUAUGGUGUGAUGUAGCAAGAAGGGGGUGCAAAUAUGUACUAGACAUAUUUACAUGAGAAUGGCGCCCACUAUAGCCCAUUUAGUUAAAAGGGCUUUAGUGUAAUUUUGCCAUGGCAAGUGGUUCUAUAAAUAGAACCCUUGUGGUAAGGAG
rnacentral:lncRNA from 1 species